GACGAACGCUGGCGGCGUGCUUAACACAUGCAAGUCGAACGGAAAGGCCUGCUUUCCCUUGUGGAUUGCGGGUACUCGAGUGGCGAACGGGUGAGUAACACGUGAGUGAUCUGCCCCCAACUUGGGUAUAAGCCUGGGAAACUGGGUCUAAUUCCCGAUAGGACCGCAGGGUGGUGCCUGUGGUGGAAAACGAUUUUCUAGUGGUUGGGGAUGAGCUCGCGGCCUAUCAGCUUGUUGGUGGGGUAAUGGCCUACCAAGGCGGCGACGGGUAGCCGGCCUGGGGGGGUGGACGUCCACAUUGGGACUGCGAUACGGCCCAGACGCCUACGGGAGGCAGCAGUGGGGAGUAUGGCACGAUGGGCGGAAGCCUGAUGCAGCGACGCCGCGGGGGGGAUGACGGGCUUCGGGUUGUGAACUCCUUUCGACCGCGAGGAAGCCACCUGGUUGGAAGGGUGGUGACGGUAGUGGUAGAAGAAGCACCGGCUAACUACGUG
rnacentral:rRNA from 1 species